UACGAAGGGGGCUAGCGUUGUUCGGAAUUACUGGGCGUAAAGCGUAUGCAGGCGGAUCGUUAAGUCGGGGGUGAAAUCCCGAGGCUCAACCUCGGAACUGCCUUCGAUACUGGCGAUCUUGAGUCCGGGAGAGGUGAGUGGAACUCCGAGUGUAGUGGUGAAAUUCGUAGAUAUUGGGAAGAACACCAGUGGCGAAGGCGGCUCACUGGCCCGGUACUGACGCUGAGGAGCGAAAGCAUGGGGAGCGAACAGG
rnacentral:rRNA from 1 species